rnacentral:pre_miRNA from 1 species
CAAGUACUCCCUCUGUCCCAAAUUUCUUGUCUUAGAUUUGUCUAGGUAUGGAUGUAUCUAAUACUAAAAUGUGACUUGAUACAUCCGUAUCUAGACAAAUCUAAGACAAGAAUUUUGGGACGGAGGGAGUACUUU